GGGGCUGUUUGGUUUUGACAGCAAGCAGAAGAGGUAUGUAAGCAUGCAGUGCGUUGUUGGGUAGCACUAUAAACACACACGACGAACUAUAACUGGCGAAAAUAAUUACGCUCUCGCUGCUUAAACGGAAGUAUAGUACUUUAAGCUUAAUUACGGCACAGGUGCUGUAACGAGACAUCUCUCAAAUGCCGUUCUCUGAGGCGGUUUGGCAAAGAGGUGUGGGGAAUAUCGGAGAUAGAGGGCGACGUGCUGCGAGGCGACCUCGAAGUUUUAGCAGAUAAGGUAUCGGUUGGUGGCUUCGGUCUUGCCGAUACACGAAAAUCUCAGGCGAAGAUAAGCAUGUAGAAAGCAUAUUGCUUCCUUGUUUGGACACGGGUUCGACUCCCGUCAGCUCCACUA
rfam:Bacteroidetes oral taxon 274 str. F0058 genomic scaffold supercont1.1, whole genome shotgun sequence.